AUGCCCAUUGGUGUUCCAAAAGUACCUUACCGGAUUCCCAGAGAUGAAGAAGCGACUUGGGUUGACUUAUACAAUGUUAUGUAUCAAGAAAGGACACUUUUUUUAGUUCACUGCCCUAUACAUAGAAAGAAGUGCUUUUCCACCGGUAUCAACAUUCUAUCUGGAAUCAGUAGCGAUAAUUGUUGUAUUGUGAGCCAGCCCCGUAAGGAAUUUGUGGCGCUUUAUCAAAGAGUAGGGCCUUAUCUACCGAUCGAGCCCUACUUGGUCGAUGAAGCGCUUCGUUCCUAUCUGGACCAUAUUCACGCAACUGAUUCUUUCACUGUUCUCCCAGCAUCUUAUCAAGAUCUGCGGGAGAAUGAGGGAGGAUCCAUUUUCUUUCGAAAUGCCGUUUCCCACAACCAGGUUCUCCUUGAGGCGGAAAGCUCCGCAAGGAGGUGCCUGGAAGUGGAACAGAGGAUCCGGUGGGAAGAAAUCCCCAAGAACAAGGAAAGUCUCGAAAGAGCUGAGCACGAGCAUGCUCUCGACUUGUUUAAGUCAGAGGAUCUUAGAAGGGAAUUAGAAAAAAAAAGAGCGGGUAGCUCAGUAAUUCUGAUUCUUUUCUCUUCCAGCCCCCCGGCCCCUCUUUGA
rnacentral:rRNA from 1 species